CCUACAGGCCAGUGUAAUAACUGAAAUAAAUUUCGUAGUUUCCGCCCACAAGAAUUGCACACACGAUCAGAUAAGUGAGACAAUUUAUUUAUAAUAAUGCCAAUGGCGAUAGAAGCACAAAGUAAUGCUAAUGUAGUCGCAAUACUUCCCUCACGAUUUGAAGUUUGAGACAGAUUUUCUGUUGAAAUUCAUCCUUCAAGCCAUUUACACAUUGUUCUAUUCUGAAUACGCAGAGAAAACCCCGCAACAUUUUAAUGCAAUUUGUUUACUAUUUGGGUUGCUGUCAUUGGUUCUUUUUUGACAAUUGACGCGCGAAUGGUGCGUGUUAUGAAAAGGGGCGUUUUACAAAAUACCCGGUCUUCCUUGCACGCCCACUAUUGUUCCCUCAGUGGGCCUGCACGCGGGCUAGUUGCAUGAUAGAACGAGUGGUGUUUCCUAGCUAGCAGAUAACUACGCUGUAUUUGAACAUGGAACAAUCGCAUAAAAACUUUCUUAUUCACUACUUUCCUUCAAGUGGAAACACCAUGGUAAAAUUGGUAAAAUGACAUGGUAAAAUGACAUAUAUCUCCCCCAAAUUUCAACUAUUUACAAAUUAUACUUUAACACUAAUUCUACGUCCAAAUUACACAGCCAAACGUAUCCUAGGCGGGAGACUUAGGCAUG